GAGGAAGGAAAGCUUGCUUUUCUGAAUCUAGUGGCGAACGGGUGAGUAACACGUAGGUAACCUGCCCAUGUGCCCGGGAUAACUUCUGGAAACGGAUGCUAAAACCGGAUAGGUAGCAGACAAGCAUUUGACUGCUAUUAAAGUGGCCUUGGCCAUGAACAUGGAUGGACCUGCGGUGCAUUAGCUGGUUGGUGAGGUAACGGCCCACCAAGGCGACGAUGCAUAGCCGGCCUGAGAGGGCGGACGGCCACAUUGGGACUGAGACACGGCCCAAACUCCUACGGGAGGCAGCAGUAGGGAAUUUUCGUCAAUGGGGGGAACCCUGAACGAGCAAUGCCGCGUGAGUGAGGAAGGUCUUCGGAUCGUAAAGCUCUGUUGUAAGAGAAAAACGGCACUCAUAGGGAAUGAUGAGUGAGUGAUGGUAUCUUACCAGAAAGUCACGGCUAACUACGUGCCAGCAGCCGCGGUAAUACGUAGGUGGCGAGCGUUAUCCGGAAUGAUUGGGCGUAAAGGGUGCGUAGGUGGCAGAUCAAGUCUGGAGUAAAAGGUAUGGGCUCAACCCGUACUGGCUCUGGAAACUGAUCAGCUAGAGAACAGAAGAGGACGGCGGAACUCCAUGUGUAGCGGUAAAAUGCGUAGAUAUAUGGAAGAACACCGGUGGCGAAGGCGGCCGUCUGGUCUGGAUUCUGACACUGAAGCACGAAAGCGUGGGGAGCAAAUAGGA
rnacentral:rRNA from 1 species